AGACCCGAAACCCGGUGAUCUAGCCAUGGGCAGGUUGAAGGUUGGGUAACACUAACUGGAGGACCGAACCGACUAAUGUUGAAAAAUUAGCGGAUGACCUGUGGCUGGGGGUGAAAGGCCAAUCAAACCGGGAGAUAGCUGGUUCUCCCCGAAAGCUAUUUAGGUAGCGCCUCGUGAAUUCAUCUCCGGGGGUAGAGCACUGUUUCGGCUAGGGGGCCAUCCCGGCUUACCAACCCGAUGCAAACUGCGAAUACCGGAGAAUGUUAUCACGGGAGACACACGGCGGGUGCUAACGUCCGUCGUGAAGAGGGAAACAACCCAGACCGCCAGCUAAGGUCCCAAAGUCAUGGUUAAGUGGGAAACGAUGUGGGAAGGCCCAGACAGCCAGGAUGUUGGCUUAGAAGCAGCCAUCAUUUAAAGAAAGCGUAAUAGCUCACUGGUCGAGUCGGCCUGCGCGGAAGAUGUAACGGGGCUAAACCAUGCACCGAAGCUGCGGCAGCGAACGUAUCACCCAAGACAACUUUACGGAGUUGACGAUUGACGGAGCGAAGCGACGUCAAAGCGUUCAUUAAAGUCGAGUUGGCUUAGGGAUACGUUCGUUGGGUAGGGGAGCGUUCUGUAAGCCUGUGAAGGUGUGUCGUGAGGCAUGCUGGAGGUAUCAGAAGUGCGAAUGCUGACAUAAGUAACGAUAAAGCGGGUGAAAAGCCCGCUCGCCGGAAGACCAAGGGU
rnacentral:rRNA from 1 species